GUAUUUGGAUAAUAUUUAUUAAAUUAAAAGAAAAAUAUUGGUAGAAGGACAUGUACAAAGACAUAGAAAAUUUCAUAGGAUCUUAUGAAACUUGUCAAGUAUAUUCAAACAUUCAACAUCAAGAUGGAUUAUAGCCAACAUAUCCUCUAGCUUCACAUUAUAAGUAAGAGGUUGAUUUAGUAGUAAUGCCUAUAGGACUUGGACAAAUGAAGUAUUUGGUACUUUCAUAAGACGAUUUGUCAAAUAUGGUUGAAGGGCGAGUAUUAAGAACAAAGAACAUUAAAGGUGUAUGUUAAUUUUUAUUUGAAGAUGUUAUUUAUUGCUAUGGUUGUAUUAGAAAAAUUACAUCAAAUAGAGAUGAAUUGGAUGCAAAGAAAGCACAAGAAUGCUUUAGUAGAUUACAAAUUAAACUUUUUUUUACAAUAACUUAUAAUUUAGAAGAUAAUGAUAAGAGUGAGCAUAAGCAUACACCUAUUAUUAUGGUAUGAGUGAAAGCAUGCAAUGGAAAAGCUUAUUAAUGGCUUAGAAUAUUAUUAUU
rnacentral:lncRNA from 1 species